rnacentral:rRNA from 1 species
GACGUAGGGCGCGAGCGUUGUCCGGAUUUAUUGGGCGUAAAGAGCGUGUAGGCGGCCAGGUAGGUCCGUUGUGAAAACUCGGAGGCUCCAACCUCGAGACGUCGGCGGAAACCCUCUGGCUAGAGUCCGGAAGAGGAGAGUGGAAUUCCUGGUGUAGCGGUGAAAUGCGCAGAUAUCAGGAAGAACACCCGUGGCGAAGGCGGCUCUCUGGGACGGUACUGACGCUGAGACGCGAAAGCGUGGGGAGCAAACAGG